CUUUGUCUGAGAUCACCAGGAUUGUGGAUACUCUUCAGAAGAACUUAUACUAUAAAAAUUACCCCAAGAAUCCUUAGAAAUGGGACAUCUGAACGAAUAAUCAAGAACAUUGAAGCAGACACAAGAG